GAAAGCCCGGGGCUCAACCUCGGAACCGCAUUUGAAACUGGCAGGCUAGAGUCUUGUAGAGGGGGGUAGAAUUUCAGGUGUAGCGGUGAAAUGCGUAGAGAUCUGAAGGAAUACCAGUGGCGAAGGCGGCCCCCUGGACAAAGACUGACGCUCAGAUGCGAAAGCGUGGGUAGCAAACAGGAUUAGAUACCCUGGUAGUCCACGCCGUAAACGCUGUCUACUUGGAGGUUGAGGUUUAAGACUUUGGCUUUCGGCGCUAACGCAUUAAGUAGACCGCCUGGGGAGUACGGCCGCAAGGUUAAAACUCAAAUGAAUUGACGGGGGCCCGCACAAGCGGUGGAGCAUGUGGUUUAAUUCGAUGCAACGCGAAGAACCUUACCUACUCUUGACAUCCAGAGAACUUUCCAGAGAUGGAUUGGUGCCUUCGGGAACUCUGAGACAGGUGCUGCAUGGCUGUCGUCAGCUCGUGUUGUGAAAUGUUGGGUUAAGUCCCGCAACGAGCGCAACCCUUAUCCUUGUUUGCCAGCACGUAAUGGUGGGAACUCCAGGGAGACUGCCGGUGAUAAACCGGAGGAAGGUGGGGACGACGUCAAGUCAUCAUGGCCCUUACGAGUAGGGCUACACACGUGCUACAAUGGCAGAUACAGAGGGCAGCGAGGCUGCGAAGUGGAGCGAAUCCCUUAAAGUUUGUCGUAGUCCGGAUUGGAGUCUGCAA
rnacentral:rRNA from 1 species